AUUGAACGCUGGCGGCAGGCCUAACACAUGCAAGUCGAACGAGUGGCGGACGGGUGAGUAAUGUCUGGGAAACUGCCUGAUGGAGGGGGAUAACUACUGGAAACGGUAGCUAAUACCGCAUACCAUCGGAUGUGCCCAGAUGGGAUUAGCUAGUAGGUGGGGUAAAGGCUCACCAAGGCGACGAUCCCUAUCUGGUCUGAGAGGAUGACCAGCCACACUGGAACUGAGACACGGCACAGACUCCGACGGGAGGCAGCAGUGGGGAAUAUUGCACAAUGGGCGAAAGCCUGAUGCAGCCAUGCCGCUGGUAUGAAGAAGGCCUUCGGGUUGUAAAGUACUUUCAGCGGGGAGGCGGUACCCGCAGAAGAAGCACCGGCUAACUACGUGCCAGCAGCCGCGGUAAUUC
rnacentral:rRNA from 1 species